rnacentral:rRNA from 1 species
UACGUAGGGGGCAAGCGUUGUCCGGAAUCAUUGGGCGUAAAGCGCGUGUAGGCGGUUCGAUAAGUCUGCUGUGAAAGUCCAGGGCUCAACCCUGGGAUGCCGGUGGAUACUGUCGGGCUAGAGUGCGGAAGAGGCGAGUGGAAUUCCUGGUGUAGCGGUGAAAUGCGUAGAGAUGUGGAGGAACACCGAUGGCGAAGGCAGCCUCCUGGGCCAACACUGACGCUCAUGCACGAAAGCGUGGGGAGCAAACAGG